CUCGAAGGCCUGCCGGCACUCGUCCGGCCAAGAGAAGUCCUUCGCUUGUCUCAGGGUCUUGAAGAACAGGAGGCAUCUCUCCGCCAACCGAGAGAUGAAUCGGCUGAGUGCAAUGAUCCUUCCGUUAAGCUGCUGGACCUCCUUCUUGGUGUCCAGGUGCCGCAUGUCGAUGAUUGCCUUUAUCUUCUCAGGGUUAGCCUCAAUUCCUCGUUGAGAAAUGAGGAACCCGAGAAACUUUUCUGAAGUCACCCCGAAGGCG
rnacentral:lncRNA from 1 species